rnacentral:rRNA from 1 species
UAGGGAAUCUUCCGCAAUGGACGCAAGUCUGACGGAGCAACGCCGCGUGAGUGAAGAAGGAUUUCGGUUCGUAAAACUCUGUUGUUAGAGAAGAACAGCGCAUAGAGUAACUGUUAUGCGUGUGACGGUAUCUAACCAGAAAGCCACGGCUAACUACGUGCUAGCAGCCGCGGUAAUACGUAGGUGGCAAGCGUUGUCCGGAUUUAUUGGGCGUAAAGCGAGCGCAGGCGGUCAAUUAAGUCUGAUGUGAAAGCCCCCGGCUCAACCGGGGAGGGUCAUUGGAAACUGGUUGACUUGAGUGCAGAAGAGGAGAGUGGAAUUCCAUGUGUAGCGGUGAAAUGCGUAGAUAUAUGGAGGAACAACAGUGGCGAAGGCGACUCUCUGGUCUGUAACUGACGCUGAGGCUCGAAAGCGUGGGUAGCAAACAGG